rnacentral:lncRNA from 1 species
GCUGGGGCCGGAGCCGCGGCGGGGGUGGGGGUUGUUCGGCUCCGUCGUAAUCCGCGCGCGGGCGACUAGCCUUCUGCCCUUCGGAGGCUGGCUGAGAGCAAGAAUGGCCGAGGAGUCAGAAAAAGAAGAGGAGAUAUUGCUAUUUCAGGCUGUCCCUUUCCCCAAAUCACCAGACCUCUCUGACUGCAGCUGUCAAAACUGGUCCAAAGAGGGUGGAAUGAGAUGGACACCAUUUCCUUAAGUACAUGUAUGAAGCCACAAAUGGUGUGAAUAUACUUUGUAUGCAACUAGAGAUAUGAAAAAUUAUGCUGUAUAUGUGUAAUGUAAGUGUAAUACAUUUUUCUGUCAUAUAUAACAAAUU